AAUCAACGCUGGCGGCGUGCCUAACACAUGCAAGUCGCACGAGAAAGGGUCUUCGGAUCUGAGUAAAGUGGCGCACGGGUGAGUAACACGUGAAUUAUCUACCUUCGAGUGGGGAAUAACUCCGGGAAACCGAGGCUAAUACCGCAUAAUAUCUACGGAUCAAAGCAGUAAUGCGCUUGAAGAGGAGUUCGCGGCAGAUUAGUUAGUUGGCGGGGUAAUGGCCCACCAAGACGAUGAUCUGUAUCCGGACUGAAUGGGCGCACGGACACACUGGAACUGAUACACGGUCCAGACCCCUACGGGAGGCAGUAGUGGGGAAUUUUGCGCAAUGGGGGAAACCCUGACGCAGCACCGCCGCUUGGAGGAUGAAGUCUGUUGAGACGUAAACUCCUUUCGAUAGGGAAGAUUAUGACGGUACCUAUAGAAGAAGCCCCGGCUAACUUCGUGCCAGCCGCCGCCGUAA
rnacentral:rRNA from 1 species